CUACGAUAGCUUAUUCUUUCUACUCUGCUUACUUUACUUUCUAUUGUCUGUUUUAUGGUAAAGAUCGCUGCGAUAAGAAUACAGCAUAUUAUGGGGUUCAUGAAAAAAGUUUAUGUAUAUAUGCCAAAUUGUGUAACUGGAUAACGGACCAACCAACCAAAUUUUCCUAGGUUCUGCUAAUUUAAAUUAUGCUAACCAUUCAUUUGCCACACGUUUAUUGCCGUGGUACAACUACGGCAGACGCUGAUCUCACAUAAUAACGAGCAAUCAUGGAAGGAUCACUGCGAAGGUGUUUCACGUUGUGGUUUUUGUGCUUUGGUGUGAUUGUUGUUUCUGAAAUUCAAUUUGGCACAGGACAUGUCCGAUCGAGGAGGGUGAACCCAGAACAGAUGUACCAAUAUCAACCUAUUCCAGUCAGAAUGAGGAGAUACUAUCAUUACUGGCCAAGUCCAAGAUCUGCAGCCUUUCCUAAAAUGCAACGCUAUAUUUCUAGGUCAGAAUUAUACCACAAUUACGAUGAAAGACCAAGAUUUUUCCAUUUGAAAUUUGACCACAUGUGGAACUUUAGUUUGGAUAUAGGAUAAUAAAUACUACAAUAUUUUCAAUAUAAAAA